AAGGCUUUAGCUUAAUUAAAGUAUCUGGGUUGCAUUCAGAUGAUGUGGGAUAAAGUCCUGCAAGUCUUA
rnacentral:tRNA from 1 species